AAAAUUGCACUCCAAUAAUAUAUUUUCUUAUAUAUCUUUCUCCCUCUUAUAAGCUAUACUAUUGUUGUCAUGGCUCGCAGUUAUGCUUUCUAUUUCACUGUUGCGCUUAUGGUGAUGUCUGUGUAUUUGGCUGAGACGCCGAAAGUGAAAAUACUAGCUGUGAGAGAGUUGUCGAAUGUAGCAGCACAACUUAAUUCAGAACUAACUGGCUUCAGUGUUUGUGGUGCAGCCUGCCAUUUUUCAAGUGAAUGUGGUAGGGCGUGUCCCCAUUGUUACUACAAUUUUAGGUAUCCUGGCUACUGGUGCACCGCCUAAAGGAUAAUUGAUGGCCAACACAAUAUGAUUGAUUAUCGUCUUUGCUUUUGUGUGUUUUCCUUUCUCCAUUUCAGCUUUCUUUAAUUUUCUUAUGGAAAGAAAGAAAAAAAAAACGAUUAAGUUCUACUUCUACCUAGAUCAGGACUAUAUAUCGGAUGUAAGAUGAGAUGUUGGCCGAACUAUUCCUGCUAUAUUUGUAGUUUGUGUUUUGAAUAAAACUAGUCUAUCAUUUUGCUUAUCAAAA